rnacentral:rRNA from 1 species
GAUGAACGCUAGCGGCAGGCUUAACACAUGCAAGUCGAGGGGCAGCACGGGUAGCAAUACCUGGUGGCGACCGGCGCACGGGUGAGUAACACGUAUGCAACCUGCCUGUAAGAGGGGAAUAACCCGGAGAAAUUCGGACUAAUACCGCAUAAUACCACGAGACUGCAUGGUUUUGUGGUUAAACAUUUAUGGCUUACAGAUGGGCAUGCGUAUGAUUAGAUAGUUGGUAGGGUAACGGCCUACCAAGUCUACGAUCAUUAGGGGUUCUGAGAGGAAGGUCCCCCACACUGGUACUGAGACACGGACCAGACUCCUACGGGAGGCAGCAGUGAGGAGUAUUGGUCAAUGGGCGAGAGCCUGAACCAGCCAAGUCGCGUGAAGGAAGAAGGUUCUAUGGAUUGUAAACUUCUUUUGCAGGGGAAUAAAGGACGGUACGUGUACUGUUUUGUAUGUACCUUGCGAAUAAGGAUCGGCUAACUCCGUGCCAGCAGCCGCGGUAAAACGUCUA